UAUAAUAGUGCUAAGCUCGCAGCCCCACAUUCUUGUUCAUAUUGUCCGUCAUUCAUUUUUUUUUUCUUUAUAGUGAAAUACCGUCAACCUGAAUAAUGAAAAUAUAAUGGAGUGUCCGCCAAUAACAUGAACUUGCAACUUUUAACGGAAGCCGCUGCCAACCAGAAGCAUAAUCCAUCUUUGAUAGCCCACUAGGUUAUACUACUCGCUCCCAACACUUCCUGAAGUGUCAGUUAACUUAUCACUGAUGCACCGUUUUACAGUCGCAAAAAUACAACACAAUCAUGAAUCUAUAGUGAAGAAUGCACCAUGGCGUCUGCACCGAAAGACUGGUUCUUCAAGGAGUACAGGGACAUCUUCGAGAAAACUGGCGAGGUAGUGUUAACGUACAUCAUGAGAUGUGGGACGGACGGAAAAUCGUCCACUGUCCCCCUCGACGAGUACUUAAGGAAUCUCCCACAAGAAUCUACAGCGAACUUCAACAUAAGAAUUAUGAAAAAAAUGAAACCUUUGGAUUCAAAAGAACUACACGAGAAACGCGAUAAGCAUCUGAAAAAGCUCUUUAAUUCAACAGAAUUAGAACAAUUGGAAGAUGAUCCAUCGUGCGACAAUUGUGACAUUAGCCUUCUUUGCAAAAUAAUAAGAAACGCCUGUGAGAAGGUCUCUGAUGACGACAAACAAUGGUCAACUGAAAGCACCGAGAUGGAGUAUUUCGUAUGGAAGAUUAAAUGCAGACGUAAUAAUAUUAUUCAUAAAAAGAUUCCAAAGAUUCAUAAUGAAGAAGAUUUCAAUAAAGAAAUAGAUACACUAACAAAGCUCCUAAUGAAAACCUUGGAAGCUACGAAAACUAGAUAUGAGAGGGAUGAAGACGAGUUUGCAAGUAAGAAGGGGGAGGUGCUGGAAGCUAUUAGUGAUACCAGAAAGGAAAUACAGCAAAGAACAGCAAACAUAGAACUGCCACAUUUCAAGGAGGAAGCUAAAAAUGAGCUUCAAAACCAUCUCAAUCUUGCUAAAUACCUUGACCCACUCCAUUUUCUGAGUGGACACGAAAACAACAUAGUUGACGUUCAAACUUUAUUUUCAAAAACUGAUAUGGUUAAAGAAGAUAAUAACCAUAUUGAAUAUCUUGAGAUUUUAAAGGUUAUAAAAGUAAAGACAACGCUCUCACAUCCUGGGGUAAAGCAUCCACAAAUCCUGCUGAUUGAAGGUGACGCUGGGAGUGGCAAGACCACCUUAAUUACCUUCCUUGUGUCUGAGUGGCUCAAAGAUGAAUGUGAUCGCCGAAUGGAGGGACUUGAUCACUAUGAUCUUCUCUUGCGGGUCGUAUGCCGAGAAGAGAAUAUAUCCACGCUUGAUGAGCUGCUGAAGCAAGUCUUACCUCGGUUUUACAUUAAAUACGGAAGCUACCUUGUACCACUCUUAAAAACGUGCAAAGUCAUGUUCCUUGUCGAUGGUUUAGAUGAAAUGAAUGACGUCUCAGACAAACUCGUGAAAAACAUAUUAAGUGAGGGAAAAGAAUGUGGUAACUUUACUUUUGUGUGUACAUCACGGCCUGACAGAGUUCUGGACUUCAAGCGCAAAAUACCUGGUAACUACCAGAUUUUCGAAGUGAGACUAGUUGGCAUUUCCCAAGAAGAGAGGACUCAUCUUGUUGUAAAACAUUACGAGUGGCUAACCGAAAAUGUAUCCGAUGAUACCGACCAUCCCAAAAACUCUGACAAAUGCAUUUCCCACCUGAAGGAUGUUAUGAAAAAAAUUGGUUGGAUGGAACUUUUCCGGCUCCCUCUUAACUUACUUUUUCUAGCUGUUGUUUUUCACUACAAGCCAACAUCUAUUACAGAUAAUCUAACUCAGUCUCAGCUAUACAGUUUAAUUCACGUAUGGUGUACACAGAAGUUGCUAAGUCGACUACACCGUACAUUGCCUGAAAGCAAAUGCAUCCAGAAGAAAGUAGAUACUGUGCUAAAGGUGGUUUAUGAAGUAGCACUAAAAGGACUCCUUGAGAAUCGGAUUUAUCUAACAGGAAAUGAUGAAGAUCUAUUGAGUUCAUGCUGCACUAGCCAAGGUUUACCUAGAAAUGAGGUGAUGCCUGCGUUUUAUUCAAUGAGGCGAAAGGUGGUUUAUAUGGUGCCUAAGGAAGAAUACUUUUUCCCACACAAAGGUUUCCAGGACUUUUUCGCAGCGCAACACAUCAUUGAACAACUAGAUGCAAACAAAGAAGGGGACAUCAGGUGUAUUCUUCAAAAUAAUAUGCCUGGACAUGAAACGCGUUUUGAACCGCAUAGGAACAUGCUUUGUCACCUUUUGUGGCUGGUGAAUCAGGGCAGCCUUGCAAAUAAAGCCAUGGUUCUGCAGGAAAUAAUAGACCUUAUAAAGGAGUCAGGGAUUAACUAUAGCAGCGAAUGGCUGUCAGUUUUAGCGGACAUGGUGCCGCAUCACGCCACCCUGCAACGUAUAGCGUUUCAUAUCAAGGAUCGUUUUGAUAACAAAAAUUCUCCUAAUUAUAAAGAAGUCAUCAAAAUAACUGACAGUACAGUGCACGCCGCCGUUUCUCUGCUUCCUCUUAUCCCUCCAUGUACAGUUAUGAUAACAUUAGAGAGGUCUUCAGAUGUUAACUUACGGGACGCCAUUGCUCGGCACAAACUCGUGCAUCUGUGGCACGACUUCGUUCAUCCCACCACCGGUGCUACUUCCAACAGCCUGUUGCACCAGUUAAAACCUAUGAAUAACCUGGAGAAUUUCAAAGGGAACCUGGAUGCUGAACACCUUGCACUGCUACCCAAAUGCUUGAAAGAACUGUCCUUGGUUAUUGCUGGGAAUGAUCACAGCCGUAAUCUUCUGCCAACUCUCUCGGAAGUCCGACAGUCUUUUACUAAGUUGUCCAUCCUUAGAAUCCACGUCCCUGUAAAGAGAGUAACGCCAGAGGCGAUCACUCAUCCAUUGCCUGAUGUUCCAAAGGUUCAUCUAAUCUUGUCUGGCGUCGGCGAGCUGGAAGUCAAAGUAGCUUGUAGUAUUGCAGAGACCUUGUGCCCAAGGAAGAAAGAGCAGCGAUGAGUGACGCAAGAGACUGAGUGUGCGGGAUGGGCCAGCCGGACGUACGUGUAGAGGGGUCGCGUACCUGUACUGAACGUGACGGGGACAGGAAUCGCAGGACAGCCAGGGUUAUCAGCUCUGAUUUUGGAAUCUGGACAGCAAGAUUUCGUUUGUGGUUGUGGAGUUUCUGCAUGAGGGAGCUGUUGAAGUUGUUCAUUAGUCAUGGAUAAUGAUGAAAAGAUGAGUUUUCACCAAAAUGGUGCUGAUGGUGCAUGGUCUUGGGUUUAAGGACUAAAUAACUCAGAAUUGUCUCUUAAGAAGGUCUGACAAUUAAGUAAUAAGUAUUUUUUUUUUUAAGUAAAAUUCCUGUUUUUGUAUGUGCAUAAUUGACAUUGACAAUCUGCUGAUCAUACAAUUUCAGGGUGUAUAUUGGUACUGGCCUCCAAAGGAGGGUGCUUCAUUCAGGGAUAAGAGGGAAGAAAUGCCUGAUAAAGAAAAAUGGAGUUUAUAUGAAACCAGAAUAUUCAUUUGCAGAUAUGACAGUUGUAGAUCAUGUAUUCUUAAUAUCUGAGUCAUAACAUACAUGUAAUGGCCAGUAAAAAAAUAUACAUUUUGAUCAUUGUCCAGAUAUAUAAGUUAUUCACCUUUAUCACUGCUAUCAACACUUUCCUUACAGAAAGAUUUGAUGCAUCUUCCAGAGACAGCUUUCCAUACUGCCCCACCAACAAAAAUAUAUCACUAAACAAGACACUGUAAAGAACUACAUGUCAGGUAUUUUAAAACUGCAUGAUACAUAAAUUAGGUUAAUCUCUUUAUGAUUCCACCGUGAUAUAUUUCCAGUCACCUCAUCUGCAUGAAAUAUAUUUACUUAUUUACAGUAUCCACUCCAAAAGACCCACAAAGGUCAAAGAGAAAACACCUAUUGAACAAAAGAGUAUCUUUGGUUUGACCUGCUGAUAAAGCUUUAUCUUCAGGAUCUGCAGAUUCAGGUCUAAAAGAAUGUGUAGUUGUGCCAUAGACAGAGGCUGCAGAUAUGUGGUACAGAGCUACUGUGUUGGCACACCUCAAAACACUGGAAAAAAAUCAGCAGCUAAUGGCAAACCUACUGCAGUCUGUAUGUAGCUUGUGCUAUAGGAUCAGGAGGGGAUGAUGUGGAAGAUGUGUUGCCAGCUCCAGUAUGCAGUUUAGAGGAGCUGGAUGACCUGUCCACAAAACUGGCUGAUGAAACAUUCAAAAGUGAAUUGGAACCGGAGCCUGAGAGACAUAAGUCUUUAGUGGCUAGUGUCAUGUUAUUGGCCGAGUUUACCUUGAAUGGGAUCACGUUUUCUUAGUGUCCCCGUGUUCCGGUUACCUGCCAUUCGGGCAUUAUCCUUAUUAUUGUUAUAAGUAGUGUAAGGCUUAUUUACCCAUUUUAUAUCAUGUAGUAUUAUUCUCUUCAUAAUUUAAGUUCUCUAUAUCUUUGUAUGUAUAAGGAAGGAAGUAUAAUUGAGGUGAAAUACGUUGAAAACGAGGGGAGCUUGAGUGGGCAACAACACAUUCCAAGGAGGGGAAAAGGCAGAACGCCUUGGGUCGUGAAGUAGGGAGGAAGGUGGCGUUUCUCAGGGGAGGAUUUUGGUGUGGAUUGGUGAUGGAGUGAGUUUGUGGAGGUAUUAGUGGUGUAGCGGUAUAACCUUGAUAUCCAGGAUCAGGUCAGUGAGUCUUUUGUGGUACCAAGAGCUCUUGUCCGCUGAAAUUCGGUUGUUGAGUUGUGCCGGUGACGCUGUUGGGAGGGGGUCAUAGGUCAAACUGGCAGCCAUUUUGUAAGUGGAGGUUGUGGUGUUAACCUUGGAAGUUGGUGUUGUGGUGUAUUGGUGAUUUUGGGGACGAUGUUAUGGUGUUAUGGGUAAUCUUUGGUGAUAAUGGUAAUCUCUUGUGAGGCUUGAGGAGGUGAAAUGCGGGAAUUAUUGUCUGGGGACGCGGAAAUGGCGUCCGGGUAAAUUCCUGCGGUUGAGGGGAAAUAUUUCUGUGACUGGUGGAGGUGUAAACGGGUUCUUGUGACGUGGGAAGUGACGAGAACGUUAUGUAGUAACGUGUGCUACCUCAUGUUGUUUGUGAAUUAUUAUUAGUAUUAAUAUAUGUGCUUGUAACAUAGAAUAAUCGUGUUUUCUACUCCCCCAACAACAAUCUGGUAUUAGAGGUAAUUCCAGGUGUGCUGAGUCAAGGUAAAGGUGGAGUAAGAGAUAAUUCUGACGAUUUCGGAUAGGUCGGGUAGGCACUCGAAGCCUUUAAAAAUCCAGACCUUUAAAACUUUCCGGGAUCAGUGUAACGUCCACUUUCUUGGAGAGAUAACCGGGAUCGUACGAUCGCAGGUAAGUAAGUAGGCGAUCGUGACACUAGUCAUCAGGUUCUGAUGACUAGCCACAGUUGAAAUAAGGGCAGAUGCCUAGGUGUACAGUGCCCUGGGGGGGGCCCUACAGUAUAAGGCAUUCCACUUGCACACUCUUGUCCUUAUCCUUUCAGCUCUGUCUCCCACAUGACCAUAAUUUCCUACCUGCUGCUAAUCAAUGUGGUAAAUGUGGGUGAGCAAGGAAGCCAGUGCCAAUUCUACCUCACUCCAAAGUGUCAUUGAUUCCUCUCUUAUCUUGUACUAACUGAAAUUUAUAUUCUUUUUAAAAUUUAUUAUAUAUAUUUUUUUUUAUUUAUUUUAUUUCUCCUCUGCUAUCAAAACAGGCCUAAGAGAUCAUUCUUUAUUUACCAUGCACUAUAAGACUCUCUCUCUCUCUCUCUCUCUCUCUCUCUCUCUCUCUCUCUCUCUCUCUCUCUCUCUCUCUCUCUCUCUCUCUCUCUCUUUUAUUUACACAAAUCAAUACAUAGUUAAAGUGUGUGUUACAAAAUAUUUUUACAUAUAAUGUAGCACUUUACAGGCUAAAGGGAACAUUUUUAGUGUUUCCUAUCUAAAAGCCUAACUCUAAAUGUUACAAACAAUUGUUACUCUGGUGCAUAUGGCAACCAGACGUUCACACAUUCCUUGAAUUGCUGCAGAUUCAUUUUACUGAAGUCUAUCUGUGCAGCAAUUAAGGUGUUCCAUAGUUUACCGUAAUGAUGGACGUACUGGGGUUGAUGGUGCCAAGUACGGCAUCGACACUGAAAUAAUUCAGCAGGCAUUAAAGUGACAGCCCGGGUGAUCACUUGUGCCCGCCGCAGGGGCUGGCGGAGAGCUUGGAGAUGCGGGAUUCGCUGUUGCUGUAUUUUAGUACAUCACAGCGAGGCCCGCUACGUCCCUGCGAUGUUGAAGGGAGUGGAGCUUUGGCUCAUUUCUGGCCCCACUGUACUUUCUGAGCCUCACUGCCCGAGCCUGUACCCUGUCCAGGAGGGAAAGAUGCCUGCUCGCCGCUCCUCCCCAAGCAAGACACGAGUACUCCAGGGAGGAACGAACUUGAGCCUCGUACAAGAUCUCCAGGCCUUUGUCGUCAAGGAGCCACGACAUCCUCCUGAGUGACGCCAGCUUACCCGAGGCCUCCCUGGCUAGACGCUCUAUGUGGUGCCUGAAGGUCAGCGCGGAGUCAUACGUGACCCCCAGUACAUCCAUCUCGUCUUGCCGCCGUAUAGCUUGCCCCUCAAGGCUGAAUUGGAGGGGCGUCCUCGACCUUGAGAUGAUUGACAUUUGUGUUUUGUUUGGGGCAAAAUUUACUUGCCACUUGCUGCCCCACGACACAAUGCGGUUCAGGGUGAUUUCAUGUGGUCGGCCGUGGCAGUCUCCUCCCCUGAGCUGUAGCUCUGAGACAGCGUGAGGUAAUCAGCACAAGCUCUUACACUGGGGAUUAAAUGCAGGAGGUCGUUUAUGUAGAUGUUCCAGAGAAGGGGGCCGAGACAGCUUCCCUGAGGAACACCUGCUCUUACUGCAUGCUGUUCAGACUCCUGGCCAUCAAUGACCACUUUGAGAUUCCUCUCUCUCAAGUAAUCACCAAACAGCAAUAAGAGGAGCCCAUCCACACCUGCUGCACGGAGCUUUGCAAGGAGACCUGCAUGCCACAACUUAUCAAAGGCCCUUUCGAUGUCAAGGGCAACAACUGCAGUGGCCUUCCCUGCGUCCAGAGCAGCACUCCACUCCGAGGUGAGCAGCAGGUGCAGAUCAGCGGCCGAUCUGCCCGGCCUGAACCCAAACUACUGGCCACACAGUAGGUGGUGCUUCUCAAGGUGCUCUGUGACUCUUGAGGCCACUAUGGACUCGAGCACCUUGCUGAGCACAGACAGCAGGGACACCGGACGAUAGUUUUUAGCCACUGUUUUUUUUUUUUUUUUUCUUGUGUACUGGCACAACACUAGCCACUUUCCAGAUACUUGGCCACCUGCUGGUCCGUAAGCACUGGUUGAAUAUCGUAGAGAGUGGGGGAGCCAGCUCAUCAGCACACUGGCGAAGAAGGCGUGGGCUAACGUUAUCAGGACCCACUGCUUUUGUCACGUCAAGUUUUGAAAGCACUGCCUUCACUUCCACUUCACUCGUUGUGGCAAAUGAUAAUUUUUCUUUCACUAUGUUUGGUAGUGAGGGUGAAGGUCUUUUAGGGUCGGAGACGUACAACUUAUCAGUGAAGUGCUUGGCCAGGAGGUUUGCUUUAUCGGCAGACUGCGCUAUUGUGCCGUCGUCCCGGUGGAGGGGAGGAAUGGUGUUCCCCCUAGACACACCUUGUUGCUCCUUAACAAGACUCCACCAGCGUUUGGACCCCACCUGGCCUCUCCGCAGCUUCCUCUUGAGAAUUGGUUAGAAGCCCAGUCUUAAGUAGCCCUCGUGGUCGGUUGCCUCCCUGUGUCGCUGUCUGUUCCAGGCUGUGGGAUGCCUCUUAAAGGCGAGCCAGGCAUGGUACUUUGCGUCGGAGGCAGCUCGACAUUCUGGCGAAAACCAGGGUUGUUCUGAUGCCUUGGUUUGGUGUGUGGAGUGGGGCACCCAGCGGUCCUGCAGGGUGUGAAGCAGCUCGGUGAACUGCCCCACCUGCUGGUCAGUGUCUCCACAUAACACAUCAUCCCAGUCAGUAGUUUUGAGGGAAGCUCGCACAGCCUGCCAAUUUGCCUUCUCCCACCUCCACAGUGUUCGAGUGUAGCACUCCUCACGCGGCCUCUUGAAACUGAUCCUUGUGAGGACUGCCACAUGGUCCGAAGUGUCCACAAAGUCUAGGGAAGAACACUGUAUGGUAUCGGCGGGAAGGUCGGUCACGACUGGAUCGAGGGAUGAUCCAGAGCGGUGGGUGGGAAAGGUGACAUAGUUGUGCAAGUCGUGCACAACCAUGAGUGUGUUAAAUGCUUCGCGCACUGUGUUUUGGUUUAAGUCACCAAUAAUUAUCACAUUUUCACA